rnacentral:lncRNA from 1 species
CCGAGACCCGCCUCCGAACCAGGCCCCACCUCCUGAGCCAGGCCCCCGCCCCCGAUUCUGACUCCGCCCUCUCUGUCCUUCGGUGGAGACUCCGGGAAAAACCUGCCUCCCAGUCUGCCCUCUCUCCGUCUGUCUGUGCUUGUUUUUCUACGUUUAUCCCUGUCGCUUUCCCCACUUAUUCUGCAGGCAUGGCGCGCCCCCAGUGCCGGCUUGGUGCCAGGGCUGGGAGAUCCGGGGGUGAAUCGUGAGCCCGGCCCACAGCGAGCUUGCAGUCUAGAGAUCAAGGCAGUCUUGUCCACAACCUGCUGUCACAUAAAGCAAAUGUAGCUGGUGUAGCACCAGGGGCUGCAAUCAAGUGCGGUGGGGCGGCAAUAGUGACCACGGAAAUAAUCAGAAUUGCUUUUAAUUCAGCUCCUACUAUAUUCCCGCAUCCCUGAGCCUCACAAUCAUCCUCCAAGGAUGUUCGCUUUGGCAGAUGAUUAGAAUACGUGCUGACUUGAUAGCCACAACUGUCCUGAUAAGAAAGUACGCCGGCCUGGCUGGGCAUGGUGGCUCACGCCUGUAAUCCGAGGAUUUUGGGAGGCCCAGGCGGGCGGAUCACUUGAUGUCAGGAGUUCGAGACCAGCCUGUCCAACAUGGUGAAACCCCGUCUGUACUAAAAAUACAAUAAUUAGCCGAGCAUGAUGGCAUGUGCCUGUAAUCCCAGCUACUCGGGAGGCUGAGGCACGAGAAUCGCUUGAACCUGGAAGGCAGAGGUUGCAGUUACUUUCCCGACAUUGCACCACUGCACUCCAGCCUUGGCGACAAGAGCGAAAUUUUGUCUCAAAAAAGAAAGAAAGAAAGCACUCAGGCCUGACCCAGGACCACAGCAGUGGACAUGGAGGGAGGAGGCUGGGGGUAGUUGGAUUGGUAUGAUAUGUCACUGAGUAAACGAAGGAAGGGACAGAAAGAGAACUCCAAAGUGUCAAAAGCCUGGACAACAGAGAGAAAGCAUCCUUGUCCUAUCAUUUAAAGCACCUGUUGGGCCAAAUAGGGAGCACCUUUCAGAAUCCAUGUGCACAAGAUCUCAGCAAUUCUACGUCCAAGAAUGUAACCUACAUCCAAGAAUGUACUGGAAUUUAAUUCCACAUCCAAGAAUCCCCAUAGGUAGCAAAGAUGUAUAUUUAAGGGUAUUCUCUCAGCUUUGUUUUUAUGUUAGGAGAUUGGGAACAACCUAAAUGCCCAUCAGCUGGUGACUGGCUAGGUUAACUAUUCACAAAUGGAAUACUAGGUAGCCUCCUAAAAGAGGAAAGCAAUUCUACAUAUCCUGAUACAGUGUGGUCACCAGAUAGAUGGCUAAGAUACAAAUAAAACAAACAAGUUGCAGUGUUAGAGUAUGCUAUGUAUCACUCCUUUUUAAGGACAAAAAGAGGAUAUACUUUAACUUUUUAAGAUACCAAAGUAUUUAUUUAUUUAAAAUUUUUUUCACAGAAUUGUUAUAGCAUGUAGAACCAAAAAUUAUUUACAAAUGAAAUUAUUCAAUGUCUGAGAUUUGUGUCAAAAUAAUGGUAUGGGGGUUUAGUGAGUAAGCAUGUAGGUAGAACAAGAUUGUCCAUGAGCUGAUAGUUGUUGAAGCUGGGUGAUCACCUGGGUGUUUUAUACUAUUUGGGUGUUAAACUAUUUUUUUUUCUAUUCUUGUGUAUGUGUCAAAUUUCCACUUAAGAAAAUGGGGGAAAAUGGUGUCAGCCCUCCAUUCCAGCUGAACACACCAUGUUAGUUCAUGCCCCAUCACACCACUCUUCUAGCCAUCUGUCAAUCUUCUCUGCCUGGCAAAUUUCUACUCUUUCAUCAGGACCCAGGAUAAUUAUCACCUUCUCUGAGAGGGCUUUUCCAACCCCUAUAGUCAGAAUCAUUCCUUCUCUAUGCUUGGGGCCCCCUGAGAAAUGUCUCUAAUCCUGUCACAAAUACAUAUUCCAGUGUCAUUAUCCAUCUCCCUAGUAGACAGUGAACAUUUCCAUCAAUGAGACAAUGUCUCAACUAUCUUCUUUCUGUCUCAACCCUUAACCCUGGCACUUAAUACUUGUUUGUUAAAUUCAUGGGUCAGGUCUAGUGAAGACAAUGAUUAGUUGUUUGGUUUGAUACAUACUGACCUUGAGAAGUCAAAGGGAUAUAGGAGGAGAGAAAGUGAAUGAGGAACUGAUGUUACUGAGCCUGUGCUAGGAGACUGCUGGGGCAAGGAAUAGAGUGAGGAGAAAGGAGGCAAGGCUCCUGCUGGCAAGGACCUCACUUUCAUUUCAGCUGGGGAAGAGCAUGGAAAGAUGUCAUUCUAGAGCAUGGUAAGUGCCAUGGAUGAAAUAGACAAGGCAAAACUUAUUCCACUUCAGCAAAGCGAGUGUCAAUAUUCUACUUAUGGAUGAGUGGAUGAACACAUGUUCAGAUGAAAUCACUUGUGCAAAGUUUACAGCUGUUAGUGCUGAACAGGAACAAGCCUUUGUCUGCCAUCAUGUGCGGCCAUGCUUUUUCCUCUGCCCUUCACUGCCAUUCGACAUGCAGGUGACACUCUGGAGCUCGGACCGAACAUUCAGAUUUGGAGGUCAUUCUACAGGAGAUAGUUGAAAUGAGGGGAGGGGAGAAGGUCUCCUAGAAACCACAAGAGAGGGAAAGUAACAGCAGCUGACUUUCAUUGAGUACUUAGUACACUCCAGACCCCAUACUAAGCAUUUUUUUUUUUGAGAUGGAGUCUCGCUCUGUUGCCCUGGCUGGAGUGCAGUGGUGCAAUCUCGGCUCACUGCAACCUCCUCCUCUUGGGUUCAAGCGAUUCUCCUGCCUCAGCCUCCCAAGUAGCUGGGACUACAGGUGUGUGCCACCACGCCCAGCUAAUUUUUUGUAUUUUUAGUAGAGCCAGCAUUUCAUCGUGUUAGUCAGGAUGGUCUUGAUCUCCUGACCUCAUGAUCUGCCCGCCUCAGUCUCCCAAAGUGCUGGGAUUACAGGCGUGAGCCACCGCACCUGGCCCAUACUAAGCCUUUUACACUUUUAAAAGUAAAAGUGAAAUCACUUUGCACAAGUGAUUUCAUCUGAACAUGUGUUCCUCCACUCAUCCAUAAGUAGAAUAUUGACACUUGCUUUGCUGAAGUGGAAUAAGUUUUGCCUUGUCAAUUUGUUUAUUUAUUUAUUUAUUUAUUUAUUUAUUUAUUUAUUCUAUUAUAUAUUUAUUUAUUCCAUAUAACAACCCUCAUUAAGUAGGAACUCUUUUUUGAGGGACAGGGUAUUACUGUGUUGCCCAGGCUAGUCUUGAACUUCUGGCCUGUGGUGUUCCUCCUGCCUUGGCCCCACAGAGUGCUGAGAUUACAGGCUUCAGCCACCAUGCCCGGUCUAAAGUAGGAACUCUUAACAGUCCCACAUUUAUAGCCUGGGAAAAUGAAGCUUAGGAAGAAUGAAGUCAACAGAGCAACAGAGGUCACACACCUCGCAAACAGCAGAGCCCAAAUGUCUUACCAUGCACUACCCUUUUGAGAAAGAAGACUGAAAUCAGGAGCCUGGUAAGGAAAUGGUGGAAACAGUGAAAGAGAACAAGAUGCACUGUUUCAUUUGUGAGAUGAGAAACAGAAAAAAAGAAAUGUCCUGAGAGCCCAAGAAAGACUGUUAGGAAAGGAACUGGGGCAAGUGUCAGAGUCCAUGGAGAAACCCAGCAGGGAAACCUGAGGGUCAUGGCAAUUGGCCAACACGAGGCGAUAAGGGACCUUUGAUGGAGCUAUUUUUGGUGGUGCUAACCUUCUUUGCUACAGGCUCACAACUGGAGCAUCUGCUUGCUUCCUCUGACCUGCCCCCUGGACUCAUGUUGUCAUUCUUCUCGCUCAACCUGUCUGCCUAGGGAAGAAGCCCUGGACUGUGUUUCCCCAAUCUCAGUAUUCCCAACCCUCCUGGCCCCCAACCCAGUACCUGCAGAGCUGACUCUAACCACCCAGUGCACCUCCCGCAGGCUGCAGCAGCCCCCAUCGAGGCCACUCAUUUACAGCACAGGCCCACACAGUCUGACAAAGGACAGCUGCAAUCCUCUGUCAACUGCAGUCCUUUCCCAGGCACAUGCUGGAUUGGGAAACAGGUGGGAGAAAAGAACAGACAUUUAUCAAGCACCUACUCUGUGCCUAGCAUUGUGCUAGGUGCUAGAGAGCCAAAAAUAAAUAGCAGCUGCUCUUGUGGAGGUCACAGUCUUGGAGGAGUUAAAGACACGGAAACAAAUUACAACACAGCGUAACAGCAGUGACAGAAGCACGUAUGAUAUGGUUUGACUGUGGCCCCACCAAAUCUCAUCCUGAAUUGUAGUUCCCAUAAUCCCCACUUGUGGUGGGAGGGGCCCAGUCGGAGGUAAUUGAAUCAUAAGGGUAGUUUCCCCCAUGUUAUUCUCGUGAUAGUGAGUUCUCAUGAGAUCUGAUGGUUUUAUAAGGGGCUUCCCCCUUCACUCAGCUCUCAUUCUUCUCUCUCCUGCCACCAUGUAAAGAAGGAUGUGUUUGGUUUCCCUUCCAUCACGAUUGUAAGUUUCCUGAGGCCUCCUCAGCCAUGUGGAACUGUGAGUCAAUUAAAUCUCUUUCCUUUAUAAAUUACCCAGUCUUGGGUAUUUCUUCAUAGCAGCCUGAGAAGGGACUAAUACAACAUACGAAGUUGGCAGCAAAGUGAGUGGUGGAAAGGAGAGUCAUGGAAAAGCAAACAAGGGAGGGUUAUAACUACAGCUUGGCAUCCUCCACUAAUGUUGUAAGGUCCUGGAGCAUUUUGGCAAUGGUGCUAAAAUGAGGAUGUAAGGACAAAAUCCCCUAGAUUUUCGACAGGUGAGCUUGUGAGGUGUUG